GUAAUCUUUGUACUUAGAACCAAUCUUUUUACUUAGAACAUUUGGGCUGACCCACUUACUCAGGCCCAAGCCCGGUACUCCAACGUUUUUUUUUGUUGGUAAGUGGUCAGAUUAAAAAAAAAAAAAAAAAAAAAGGUAAUAAGACUAGAAAUUUUAUCCUUGUACCGUCGAGCUUACUCGUUUAACACAACGCGGUAGGCAACACCCAAGGAUCGAAUUUCUCUUCUCUUUACUUGAUAAAUUAUGAACCAUGGUUCUUGACGAAGUACUGAUCAGUUUAUCGCAGACAUCAGCAAUCAACUCUGAAUCUUCUUCUCAACAUAAAGGGCAAUCGUCAUCCAACGAACAUGGCCCUAUUGUUUCAGAAAAAUUGGAUAGCACCAAUUUUAUUUCUUGGUCAAAACAUGCCAAGUUGAACAUCAUUGGCCGAGGUAAACUUGGUUAUCUCACCGGCAAGAAGAAAGCACCAUCUGAAGAAGAAGAUGAAGAGGGGUACGAAGUUUGGGUUGAAGAAGACAGCCUUGUUCAAGCAUGGCUACUCAGUUCCAUGCACAAGGAGGUCAGAGAAAAUUAUGAAGGUUUGGAGACAGCUAAAGAAAUUUGGGAUGCUGUUAAAACUACUUUUUCAGUAGCCCAAGAUGAUACACGAAACUAUGAGCUACAAAUAGCUUCGGUUUCCACCAAACAAAAUGGGGCUCCUCUUCAUGGCUACUACAGCAAUAUGAAGAAAAUAUGGCAAGAGCUUGACAUAUUUCCGACCUCUCAGACUCAAGGAUGCAGAUUCUAUCACCUACAUGGCUAAUAAGGUCACCAAGCACCGUGUCUAUUUCUUUUUGGCCGGGCUAGAUCCUCACCUUGAUGGAGUCCGAAGUAGAAUUCUAAACACAAAGCAGUUGCCUUCUAUAGAAGAGGCUUAUUCUCAAGUCAGUGCUGAGCAUAAUAGACUCAAAAAGAUGAUGUCUGACACAAAGCAUGAGGGAUCAGCCAUGAUUGCUCAAUACCGGCCACCACAUGUUCGUAGCUCCCAGCCUUCUUCAUCUACACCUCCGUUGAAAUCACCCUCUCAAGGACCCAUGAAAUGCACUCAUUGCAAAUCAACUAGUCAUAUGGUAGAGACUUGUUUCUACUUGAUUGGCUUUCCUGACUAGUGGGAUGAUCACAUUGCCAAUCGCAAGGAGGCCCAAGCAAAAGGAGUACGAGAGAAAGCGAAAUCAUUCCAACCCCAUGGAAACAAGAACCCAAAGAGCUACCAGCCCAAAGGCAAACCUCAGGCCUCUCUCCAGAUUACUUCGCCAGACUCGAGUUCGAGUACAACUAUUGUCGAACCCAAUCAUGGUGAUCACUUUGGUAACUCCACUUUUACCUUCAUGACCACUUCAGUUCAUCGCUCUGGCGUAACUAAUGCAAAUGGUGAUUCCUACCCCAUUACUGGUGCUGGGUUUGUCACUUUUACAGACUCAAUUACCUUUGACACUGUGUUGCUUGUUCCUUCCUUGUCUCAUAACCUCUUGUCAGUCAAACAGAUAACCCAACAAUUGCAUUGCUGUGUAAUUUUUUACCGCUGGUGUUGUGUAUUUCAAGACAUCCUAAGAGGGGAAAUCAUUGGACGGGGUAUUGAGAAGGGGGGAUUAUACUACAUGGAGAUGACAACUGCUGGUAAUCUUUGUGCGAGUGAGCACAUCAGAUUCAGAAAAAAGUAUCCACAGAUGAAGAACAAAUCUGGUUAUGGCAUAAGAGAUUGGGACAUCCAUCAUUUGGAUAUCUCCAAACUCUCUUCCCUCAAUUAUUAAAGCAUUGCAAAGCAUUAGACUUCAAAUGCAACACUUGCGUUUUGAGCAAAAGUCACCGUGUGAACUACCCUUUGAUCGAGCUCCAGUAAAAGUACUGCCCCAUUUGAUCUUGUUCAUUCUGAUGUUUGGGGGCCGUGUCCACCAACGCACAUUGGAAUGAAAUAGUUUGUUCUGUUUGUUGAUGAUUGUACCAGGAUGAGUUGGAUCUACUUGAUACGGCAUAAAAGUGAUGUCUUUUCUGUAUUUCAGACAUUUCAUGCGAUGAUCCAAACUCAGUUCCAAAAGCCCAUUAAAGUCCGACCCUAUUUCCACCAUUGCCAAAUUGUCAUAUGUCCCUAUUUGUGUGCGCUGCACACCCCUUAGUUAACCCCUUUGAGCCUACGUUAAGCCUUUCUGUCAUCACCCAUAUAAUCCUCACCUUGAGCUUAGUGUAGUGAUAUCUCUACCUUUGUCCUUAAGGCCUAGUAGAGCUUAUGUUGUGAUGUAUUGUACGUGUGGAAGGAUGAUGAAUAACAAGUGUAGGGGGAAGGACUUGUCCAUUAAAAAAAAAGAGAUAUGUGUUUCCGAAAAAAAAA